UUCCGGUUGAUCCCGCCGGAGGCUACCGCUAUUGGAGUUCGAUUAAGCCAUGCGAGUCGCGAGAAAUUAGAUUCUCGGCGUACCGCUCAGUAACACGUGGGUAACCUGCCCUAUGCUGGAUAAUAACCUCGGGAAACUGAGAAUAAUGAUCCAUAGUUCACUACGCCUGGAACGGUGAGUGGAUGAAAGCUCCGGCGGCAUAGGAUGGGCCUGCGGCGUAUCAGGUUGUAGGGGGUGUAACGUACCCUCUAGCCCUCUACGCGUACGGGUGUUGGGAGACAUAGCCCGGAGAUGGAUUCUGAGACACGAAUCCAGACCCUACGGGGUGCAGCAGGCGCGAAAACUUGGCAAUGCGAGAAAUCGUGACCAGGGAACUCCAAGUGCAUGGGGUAAGACCCAUGCUUUUCUUGACUCUAAAUAGGUCUUGGAAUAAGGGGUGGGUAAGGACGGUGCCAGCCGCCGCGGUAAUACCGGCGCCUCAAGUGGUAGUCGCUUUUAUUGGGCCUAAAACGUCCGUAGCCGGUCUGAUACAUUCGUGGGUAAAUCAACCAGCUUAACUGGUUGAAUUCUGCGAGGACGGUCAGACUUGGGACCGGGAGAGGUGUGGGGUACGCUCAGGGUAGGGGUAAAAUCCUGUCAUCCUGAGCGGACCACCUGUUGCGAAGGCGCCACACUAGAACGGAUCCGACGGUCAGGGACGAAGCCUAGGGGCACGAACCGGAUUAGAUACCCGGGUAGUCCUAGGUGUAAACGCUGUGGACUUGAUGUUGGGGGUGCUCCGAGCACUCUCAGUGUCGAAGCGAAGGUGAUAAGUCCACUGCCUGGGAAGUACGGUCGCAAGGCUGAAACUUAAAGGAAUUGGCGGGGGAGCACCGCAACCUGAGGAUUGUGCGGUUUAAUUGGAGUCAACGCCGG
rnacentral:rRNA from 1 species